rnacentral:sRNA from 1 species
CCCUAGCCCUGAUAGUAGUGAAAAUCCUUUUGUUUUUUUCUUUAAAAAAUAAAAGAUUGUAACGAAUAGCAGGAAAUAGC